rnacentral:rRNA from 1 species
UACGGGGGGGGGCAAGCGUUGUUCGGAAUUACUGGGCGUAAAGGGCUCGUAGGCGGCCAACUAAGUCGGAUGUGAAAUCCCCAGGCUCAACCUGGGAACUGCAUCCGAUACUGGAUGGCUUGAAUUCGGGAGAGGAUGCAGAAUUCCAGGUGUAGCGGUGAAAUGCGUAGAUAUCUGGAGGAAUACCGGUGGCGAAGGCGGCAUCCUGGACCGACAUUGACGCUGAUGAGCGAAAAGCCAGG